CAUGGAGGGUGAGAAUCCCGUUCGGUUGAUCAGAUCUUCUUUAUGAUACGUCAUCAAAGAGUCAAGUUGUUUGGGAAUGCAGCUUAAAAUGGGAGGUAAAUUUCUCCUAAGGCUAAAUAACGGCGAGAGACCGAUAGCGAACAAGUACCGUGAGGGAAAGAUGAAAAGAACUUUGAAGAGAGAGUUAAAUAGUACGUGAAAUUGUUGAAGGGGAAACGAUUGAAGCCAGUCGUACCUGCGGGUAAUCAGCCUUUUGGGUGUGAUUAUGUGGAGCGUGAGGAGCUAAUCGCCUUCAUCUUUGCAUAUUCGUGCACUUUGGGUGUACUUGCUCGUGUGGUAGGUUAACAUCAAUUUUGAUCGUCGUAAAAUGACUAGAGGAAUGUAGCUUCGAUCUCGUAUUGAAGUGUUAUAGCCUUUGGUAGAUGUGAUGAUUGGGAUCGAGGAUUGCAACGAAUACCUUUUGGGCUAUCCGUCUGGCCUCUGAAAGUCGCUUGGGUGUCAAAAGCUUGCUUAUGACUAUUCAAGUUGGGGGUCAACAGGUUAGAACGUGAUUACAUUCGUUAAGGAUGUUGACGUAAUG
rnacentral:rRNA from 1 species